GGGCUCAUCUCUGAUGUCACCUCUCCCAAAUAGCUUUCUCUGACUGGAUACUCCUCCGCAAGGCCCAUGAGCAGAGAGGGGCAAGGUCAGUUCUGAGGUUAGAAUGACCCACUGCGGCAGGACAGAGAUGAGACAGAGGGACAGAAUGAGGGCCAGAGGCCUGUGAAGAAGGCUGAGGUGAGGGUCCCGGUCUGAACAAGGACAAACCUGGGUUGAGCUCGGCAACAGACACGAGGGGACAGUAGGCAGUGAGGGGAAGCCCAAGAAUGACAGAAUCAACAGCUCUGGAGAAUCAGGAUGCCUAUUACAAAGCCUCCAAUGCCUACACUCCAAGAGAGAUUUCAUACCCCAGAGCCCAUCGGACCCUCAAAUAUGUGCACUAUGUCCCUGAAGCUCUCUGAUCGCUGCACCUCCCUGAGCCAAGAUGCCUGUCUCCCAACUUCCAACGUCCCUGAAAUAUGUGAGCUUGGCUUUCAGAACUCCGAGAUUCCUGUAUUUCCAGAUGCAGGAAUGAGUUCCCCUACUAUAAUGUUCCCGUCAAAAUGAACUCUUGCGGUGCCAGAAUUCCACAAGCCCAGCACUACUGGACCCAGAGAUAUGAAAUUCCAAAGGUAUCCUGGAGCGAGUCUCCUAGCAUCCUCAAAUCCAAUGUUCUCCAAAAAUGCAGGGGUCCUGACAUAGAGCCUCUCCCAACUCCUCAUUCCUCAACCGGGACAUGUGAUGACCCAGGAAACUCAGAUGACCUGCCCUUCCAGGUCAAGAGAAUCCUCAACAAAUCCAGUGGCCCCACUCCAAUGAACAUUUAGAUCUCAGGGGCCUUGUUAAUGGACCUCAGGAUUAAGUGGCAUUGAGUAUCACGUUUUGGACUCCCAGAAGAGAUUCAAGAACUAGAGCUUUCGGGCCUCCAAUGUUGGCCCACAACGUGUCCUACAUGCUGUAGACAGAAUGUCUGCGUUCCCCCCAAAUUCAUUUGUUGAACUCCUCUCCCCAGUGUGAUGGUUUGAGGGGAUGGGGCCUUUGGGAAGUGAUUAUGUCACAAAGAUGGAGCUCUCAUGAAUGGAAGGAGUGCACUUAAAAGGGAUCCCUUGCCCCUUCUGCCAUGUUAAGACACAGAGAGAAGAAAGCCAUCUAUGAACCAGGAAGGGGGCUCUCACCUGUGGGAGACAUGUGGGUCCAGCCCCUCUCAUGUCAAGCACUUGAUCAAAUCUUUCCCCUCUCGGAGCUGAGCAACAUGAGAAGCUCCCAACAUAGGAAGUGAGAGAAGUGGUCACAGACACUCACAGGUGAAGACCAUAAAGGCUGGGGUAUAAGAAUACAUUCAGUCAGUGAUCUGACCUCCCCUACACACAGAUCAGUGUCACCCUGUGGAAGAAAUGUGCCUCAGCGUGAGUGAGGAACCCCUGGAUACAGUGCCCAAUCCCCAUUCUAAUCCACAUACACAACCUCAACCAAAACCCAGUACAGCCCAACCCAAUCAACCCAAACCCCAAACCCACACAUGUCCAACCCAAGGCAUUCAGGUGUGGACCCAGUGGAUCAGACUCCAUUGCAACACCUGGACAUAGAGCUGGACAUUGAAGAUGACAGAGACAUAGCUGGAGAUACAGGCUUCAGGACGGGACAUAUUUAUCCAUCUCUACACCAGCCCUCAAGUCAGAUGCUUGAUGUUCAAGGUCUCUCACUGCAUUUCACAUAUGAUGACAAGGUUCACAAGUACAGGCAAAUAGGAGACAGGUAAGGCCUUACACACGUGCCACACACACACAGCUGCAUUGUGCACAAGUACCAAACAGGCAGAUUUCAAGGUCAAAGAACUAUGAACCUCUACACUGGGAAACAGAGAUAACCCCCCAAGGUUAAGCCAUAUAUACACACACACAAACAGGAGCCAACACUAGGGCAGGAUUUGACACAGAUCCCACAGAUCAAAUGACCACACUCUUCCCACUGUUGUUGGGAAUUGGGCUGGAACUCCGGUGAGCAGAGAGCAUGUGGUUGUGGUGGAGGAAGAGCAUGAGGAAAACUGAGUGAUGUUACCUUUCCCUUUCUUGGGGGGAAAGGUAGAGGGUGAGGCUGGACUCAUGUUGUUAGAAAUUCCCCAUGGGCAUGUCACAUGUCUUCAGAGCAAAGGAAUUAAUACAUUUUACACUCUGGACUGUCUUCCAAGAUGUUUGUCUAUCAUGCAGCCUUUCAAGAUGGUAUCUCCCUCAGAGAAAGUUUGUUUACUGUCCAUGAUUUAAUAAAAGAUAAUAUUUGUUUACUGCCAAGGACAAUAAAAAUUACA